CGUGAGGAGUACUGGGGCGAAAAUACUCCUGUCAGAGACAAAAGGACCUAUCUUUAUCGGGACCUGGACGAAGUGGAACAUUUAGACCUGGUGAACAUGAACAUGGUGAGUACUGAAGAAAAGAAGAUGUUCAUCAGCCUGCUGAAGGGAAUGCUACAAGUAGAUGGAAAUUUGAGGAUAACCCCCAAUGAAGUCCUUGCUCAUCCCUUCAUCACAUGGAGCACCCAACAGGAUAGCUCAUGCCCGUCCUCCAGGAGACAAUGUGAGCUCCAUCUCCCUCCCUUUGUCCCAGAGCGUAUCAUGUACCAGGAGCACAC